CAAAGGAAGAAAUAAAAGGAGGAUGUGUAACAUGGUAAGGAGGGAAGGAAAAAUGAAGAAAGAAGAAAAACCUAUUGAAGAUAGUCAAGAAAACAGCUGCCCUUCGAAGACACUGACUUGAGGGUUUUCAAAAUCAUGGAAAUUAUGCUUCACAAAAAAUAAUCCCAAUGGUCAUGGUCAUUAGAAUUUAGAACAGUAUUUAUAUGGCUCCCUGUGGUGAAUCAACAAUUAUUUUCUAUGGCUUCAAUUUUCAGAGUUUAAAUAAUGCACAUAGCAAUACCACCAAAGAAACAGUCAUUAAAUAUCAAUAUAAAAUAAAGUGGAAGAAAAAGAGAAAAACAGCAAGCUGCUCAUUGCAGUGUUUCCAACUGAGACUCUGUCCUGCAGACUCCAGGGGAUUGGCACGGAUUAAGCUGUUACUAGAGGCUGGGGUUACGCACGGUAGGCUGUAGACUUUCUGGGGCAGAAACAAGUCAAUUUCUAUUCCGAAAACCUGGCACUGCCUAAGAAAAUCCAAACCUAUCAAACAGAAGCUUUGCAGGAGUGUAGUUAAUAGCAUCAAAGAGUGCUCCGAGACUCACCCACAGAGACUUUCUGAUAGCUGAUGCCAGGGACAGCAAAAAAAGAGAAUGUCCAGUUGGGGGAAGUUAACCAAGCUCCUCUGAAUUCUUCUUCUUGAGCCCGUUCUCUGCUCACUGGUCCCCAUUUUAUAACCAUGCUUAAGGAGCCUAGGCUUCUCUGCCUCUCUUACAACAUGCUUAAUAUCACUACUUUAUCCAUUCUGUACUGUUGCAGGCUGAAGGUGACAUUACACUUAGAGGGAUCCACAGAUUCAAGAGGCUGCUUGGCAAGGGCAGCACAGUGAGGUACAAGGACUUUGACAUCAGAGAGGCCUGGAUUCAAGUCCCAAUGUCUGUAUGUGGUAACCAGUAUGCAAGAGAGCCUGUGAUGAUUCCUGCCUCCUCGUAUUCAUGUCCUUGUUAGUUCCCUUGCACAUUGAAUCAGGGCUGGCUCUGGGUGACCAAUAGAAUGUGGAGGAAGUGAUGGGGUAUGAAUUCCGAGGCUAGGUCACAAAAGGCAUUGUAUCUUCCACCUCUUAGGUCUCUCUCUCUGGGGAAGCCUGCCACCACUCUGCAAGGACUCUCGAGCAGCUCCAUCUACAGAUUCACAUGGAGAAGAAUUAAAGGCUCUUGCCAAUCACCAGCACAAUUUUGCCAGCCUUGUGAAAGUACCUGAAUGAAACAACACCCAGUAGCAACUAGCACACCUAGCUCCCAGAUCUCAGUUUUUGAUAUCAUUCUUCAGUAAAAGGAAACAAGGCUCCUUGGAGAAAUGGCUAUCGAGGACUGGUGCAGAAAAUAUACAUGAUGAAGCUGGAGCAUCUUGUAGUGCUUGAAGGUUCCUUAGAUCCUGGGAUGAGGAGGUUGACCAGAAGGUGGGCUUGGGAAGGUAGCCUGGGGUCCAAAUCCUCUUGGCUCUUCAGCUUGGCAGGUUAGUUAACAUUCAGAAGCCUUCAUCCCCCAUCCACAAAAUGGGCAUGUCCAACUCAGAAGCUGCCUUGAAGAAAGGGUCUACUCAGCAUGGUGCGUGGAGCCUAAGCAAUCAGUACUUCAGGACUUCACCCUGCCCCUUUCCAAUAACUGCUGCUGUCUCCCUCACAGGAUGUCUCCCUCAGUGUCUGAAAGCUGGGUUUGAUGCGUCUGGAAAAGCGUCCCUCACAGGCGUCGUUGCUGGGAGCCCCUGGUGCCGCCAGCAGCUAGCAGGGAGCAUGUCCUCUGCCCGCUCACUUCUGACCCUUCUCUCGCUGCAGGGAUGGGGACCUUAGGACAGAAUGGCUCUAAACCCGCUCCUGUCCAUGGUGUGAGCAUUUCCUGAUGUGAAAGCUUCAACCGCAGUCUCAACAUUGAGCUCUUCCAAGGCAUAAAAUAAUCAGUUAAAAUUAUUACGUGUUAUAAAGAUGCUGGCCCCAGAGAAGAGUGAGACCCGGAACACAGUGCAGCUGGGAGCAGCCUGGGCUGCACAGAAGGCUCAGAUCUGGCGACGGCCCUUGCCGGUGACUGUGACCUGGGGUGUUUUGGAGACUCCGAGUCUCAGCUUCUCCAUAUAUAAGAUGAGAAGAACCAGCCUCAGAACAAUAUUCUAUAGCUUCAAACUUGCCUGAGAACCAGCCUCAGGCAAGGUUGUUUGUGCAUUAGUGAAAUCAGAUGUAUUAAAUAAAGUACCACAUUGA